UCUGGUGACUAUAGCAAGGAGGUCACACCUGUUCCCAUGCCGAACACAGAAGUUAAGCUCCUUAGCGUC
rnacentral:rRNA from 2 species